GUGUGUGUGUGUGUGUGUGUGUGUGUGUGUGUGUGUGUGUGUGUGUGUGCCUGAGGACAGGUUAAUUGUAUUCUCAUUAAUAAUGUCUUCUCUACAGAAAACCCUCUGAUGUAGAGCUCUAUAUGUUAAUAAUAUGGUUAUUAAUGUUAAUAUUCAUGCUGAUCACGGGUGUUAUUACGGGUAUUAUUACGGGUGUUAUUGCAGGUGAUUUUGCAGGUGUUAUUACAGGUGUUAUUACGGGUGUUAUUACAGGUGUUUUUUCAGGUGUUAUUACAGGUGUUAUUACGGGUGUUAUUAGAGGUGUUUUUGCAGGUGUUAUUACAGGUGUUAUAAUGGUGUUAUCGCGGGUGUUAUUGCAGGUGUUAUUACGGGUGUUAUUGCAGGUAUUAUUAAUGGUGUUAUUACGGGUGUUAUUACGUGUUAUAAUGGUGUUAUUACAGGUGUCAUAAUGGUGUUAUUACGGGUGUUAUUACAGGUGUUAUUGCGGGUGUUAUUAUGGGUGUUAUUAUGGUGUUAUUACAGGUGUUAUUACAGGUGUUAUAAU
ensembl:lncRNA